UUUAGAAUAAGUACAGUUAACAAACAAAUGCAAAGACCUUAAAACUAACAAGAAAGAAGGAUGAAAUAUCAAGGGAAAGAGUUUCUAAAUAUGAAAUGGCAAAUGACAAAAUUGAUUAUUGGUACUCAGUAAACAUAUGGACAACUCUGUCUUUCAGUGCUGUACUUCUUUGUGGCAAUAGUGUCUACAAGCCAAAAUGAAUGCGAGUGUACAUCAUGUAUAUGCAUGAUGGUACAUACACACACACACACACACACACACACACACACACACACAUGAUUAGUAAAAAUACAAAAAGUUGUGCUGAAGAAAUAAUGCCACUUUGAGAAAAAAAAUCAUCUUUAAUAUUUGCAAAAUUUCAUGUUGAGUUAGAUGAUUUUUUUCCAGUUAACUAGAAGUGCAAUCUUAUUUCAGGAUAUAGGGAAAUCAGUUAUAAUAAUAAAUAAAUAUCUCAUAUUUACAAAUAAGUUAUAAUUUUGUUGUUGUAUUUUAUGCCCUCUGGUUAUAGUCUUUCCAAUUAAUUAAUCUUUUCUAAUAAUCUUUAUUUUUCCUGAUUAUUAAUUUCAUAUCCUAAAAAGCUGUCCCAGAUAACUUCCAUGCUUCAUCACCAAAACAUACAAAUCUACUUUACCAGAGGUUAGAAUAAAAAAAGUAUUUUUAAAUUAAUUGUCUUAGUUAGGGUUUUAUUGCUGUGAACAGACACCAAGACCAAGGCAAGUCUUGUAAAAGACAACAUUUAAUUGAUGCUGGCUUAUAGGUUCAGAGGUUCAGCCCAUUAUCAGCAAGGGGGGAGUAAGGCAGCCUCCAGGCAGGCAUAGUGCAGGAGGAGCUGAGAGUUCUACAUCUUCAUGUGAAGAUGGCUAAUGGAAGACUGGCUUCCAGUCAGCUAGGGUGACAGUCUACAGUGACAUAGCUACUCCAACAAGGCCACACCUCCAAAUAGGGGCCAAGCAUAUUCAAACCAUGACAUUAAUAUAAUAGAAAUUGUUAAUCUUUUGUAGUUCUGGGCUCCAGCCCAAGACUACAUGCUAUACUAUCACUCUUCUACCAACAUCCAUUCAAUCUCUCCUUUUUCUAAACACUCAUAUUGCUUCCUUGUAUCUUUCAAUAACAUUCUUUGAUUAAGAAUAAUAAAGACUUAUAUAAUAUACAGUCAUGGAAGAACAAAGAAAAUAUCUGUUCUUCAAAAUAGACCAUAGUGAUUUCUGUGUUAAAUCUAACUCAACUUUGAACAAAUGUGUAGUUCAGAGGAAUUAAGGACUUGUGGCUUGACUUAUAAACUUAAGGUAAGCAGAAAUCAUGAAUUUCAAGUGUUAAAAAACAGAUAUUUAGAAAAAUACCAGAUACCAAACUGACUUUUGCAAACUAAAAUCAUCAAAAUGCUGUUGAAAGUUGUCAAUGUGUUGCUAGUGUUUGAUUAAAUACUGUUGCAAAUAACUCAUUUUUAUUUCAAUGUAUACUGAACAUUAAUUGCAAUAAAUAUUUUCACAC
rnacentral:lncRNA from 1 species